UUAUCAGAAAAGAAGCCUGCAUUUCAAACGCAACGAACGAAUUUGACACAUAAGGCUACGAAUCCUGAGUACAAGUAUAUCGAACGAGAUGCAGUUAGUUAUUCUGUUGCAGAUAGUAUAGAAGAUAAUGACGAGCUCCGUCUAGUUCUGUUUGGAACUAAACAAAGUGGUAAAAGCUCGACAGGAGACAUGAUAUUAGGAGAAGCUAAAUUUCCAUCGCAAUGAUUAAUAAAAAGCAACACAUCGACAAAUAUUCUUCAUAGAACAAUUAGGUGUGGGAAAACAAUUUAAAUCGUAGAAACUCCUGGAUUUAGAAUCGGUGAAUUGGCGAGGGAAGAAGUCAAGGUAAACGUUGUGAAAAAUAUCAACUCAGCAACCCAACAACUCGGAGAGGAACCUCAUGCAUAUCUGUAUAUUAUUUCAUCAAAAGCAUAUUUAGAUCAAGAGUCGAAAGUGAUCGAUCUCAUAUAUAGAAGAUUGCGAAAAUUAAUAGAUAAAAUAAUUAUAGUCUUUACUAGGUUUGAUUUUCUGCAACUCAAGGGUUAUCGCGCUUUACGUAUCUUGAAAGUCUGCCAGACAAAUUUAAGACUUUUGUUGCGGACUGUAAUGGUGAAAGCAGCAUAAUAUUGUUUGAUAAUAGCAGACCUUUUAAUGAAGCUUUGGCACAUACGUAAGUAUCAAAACUGAUCAAAAUCGUCGAGACGCUAAAUUAAUGUAUGUGUGAUAUACAAAUUAAAAUAAUGAAAACUGAAACAGUUUUACUUAACUGUAUUACUAAU